AAUAACCUGCCGCGUUCGCUACCGGCCAUGUCUUUCGCUAGGGGUUUUGUUCCGUUUUGCUCUGCCCGCUGCUGUUAAAGUGUUAUAGACAUUGUCUUAUUUCCCACGAUUUUUUAUUCUCCGACCUGGCCUCCCCGCACUAUUGCAGAAAUGCUAGUGCUAUACCAACGGACGGCGUAGGACUUCAGAUGGGGAUGAGCGGCACAAUCUCCAGGGGCUUCCGAGAUGUCUUGGGUGUUGCGGCCUGUGCUCCUGUAAAAAGGCAGUGGAAUUGCUUUCUUGCUCUCACUGGCCGGCCGGAAGGAUUCAACAAGCUUUACUCUGAAAUGAAUACACGAUUUUAACACUGGCGUCCACGAAGACUCAACAAAAGACACCUUCAUUACUUCGGAAGGCCUCCGGGUCAGCUACCCCAUUACAGCUCCAGGAGGAGAGGACUGCUUUUGAACGACUCGCGCCUGCUGCGUCGCAUCUGGAGGCAGAGACUCUGCGCGGAGCCGAGCGGUGCCGCCGGGAGAGCGCGUGGGACGGGAGCCGCCGUUGCAGCCACUUGUGCAACGUGGCUGAGCUACAGCUGGCGGGCCAGAGCCUGACACGCCGCCGGUUGGUGACACUUCCCUCCCGUUGCCCUGGGCUGCCGGUCUCCGUUCCUGAGGGAAGCG
rnacentral:lncRNA from 1 species